CGCCGUCGUUGAUGAACAUGAACGGCAGUACCACCUGCCGACGACGACGGGCGGCGAGCCACCUACGCCGACGUCGAAGCUGUCGAGGUCAGGCAUCCGGCGGCGGAGCGGCCAGUCCGUCCCGUGCGCCGCGUCGGCGAGGUCGUAG
rnacentral:snoRNA from 1 species